rnacentral:lncRNA from 1 species
UUUUUUUUUUUUUAGUUUUUUUUUAAAGAUUUAUUUAUUUAUUAUAUGUAAGUACACUGUAGCUGUCUUCAGACACUCCAGAAGAGGGCAUCAGAUUUCAUUACGGAUGGUUGUGAGCCACCAUGUGGUUGCUGGGAUUUGAACUUGAGACCUUCAGAAGAGCAGUCGAUGCUCUUAACCACUGAGCCAUCUCGCCAGCCCCCUAGCAGAGCUAUUAUUAACAUGGCUUGCCACCUCUAGACAUCCUUUUAUAUCUUGAUGAAGCUUUGAAUAAUCUCUAUAUAUUUAUAGAAAGUAUUUGACUUCCUUAUGUGUGUUAGACCUAGAUAUUAAGCAUUUUGCACCCAAGAGAGGCAGUACAGAUUAGUCACUGACAGCAAACAUUCUAGAACAUGUCCGAAUUUGAUUGUAACUUUUCUUCUGCAGAACUUUGAGCCAACUUACUUAAUCUCUCUGUGUGUGAAUUUCCUCAUUUGUUAAACGAUGAAGUAAGGGAACCUGUCUUACAGGAUUGUUUUGAGCAAUGAGUAAAUUAGUAUAUGUGUAUGUAUGUUUAAAAUAGUACCCAUAUAAUACAAAUUGUGUGCCCAUUUGCUGUUGCUUUUGUUGUUGUUUAAUUGAAAUUUUGUGCUUUAUUAGCCAAUUUUUCAAAAUUAUUGCAUACUCACCUUUACAUGACAUACAAAAGAUAGAAGACCGAUGAGUAGUUUUCUCUAAGCAAACCACUUAAGUUCUUAUGUAACUGUGUGUGGAAAUGGGAGGGCAGCGUGACAUUCCUUCCUAUUUAUUCAUUUUCCAUGGCCACAGAGAGUUAGAAGUUGCAUGCCUAUCUCUUGUCAGUGAGAUCAUUAAAAUAACACAUAUAUUAUCCUGUGCCAAAGCAUAGUUUAAAAUCUACAAGAAACAAAGCACACAACAAUGUUAUUUAUACUUCUGGACUAGAUUUAUGCCACCUCGUUUGUAAGGAUUAUGACUUAACUAUGGCCUUUUUUGUCCCCAACCAAUGGUGUCAUUGUUCCCAUGCUGUCUACGAGCUAAAUUUCUAUAGUGAACUUCAGACAUGUAUUGCAGAGAAACUGUGGCCUUUUGUUCUUUCAAUGUUUAGGAUUUUUCUAAGCCUAACAUUGACACGCACACAGUGAUUUAGAAUAACGAUGAACUGAUGCUGUGUUACCCUUUCGUGCUUAUAUACUGUUUGGCAGUUAUCACUUCUAGACCAGUAAUGAGGUAGUCAUUUAGAUUUAAGCACUGGCAAGGACAGUGAAGCAAGGAGGAAAGAAGAAUGUCACUGACAGUGGAGACCUCUUGGGACAUGAUGUUGCAUUACAUGGAGCAUGGUCAAGGGUCCCUAGUAGAUCUACUUUGAGCUUUUAACUACUAUGAACCAAGUAGUUAAUAAUAUCUUCAUAAUCUUUAAAUCAGAGUUAUGUUUAUCAUUAAGUGUAGGUAUUUUCAUAUUGGGCACACUCAGCAGAUGUAUUAGGUAUCAAUACAUUACUGAAUUAAUUAUACUUCAUAUGUGCAUUAAUUAAACAUUAAAAAUAAUCUUUAUUCCCUUAAAUUCUUCUUAACUAGUAGGUGAAGUGCAGCUCAGUAGGAGUGUGUUUGCCUAGGACAAGAGGCUUUGUUUUUCUCUGUGUUUCUGCCUCUGUCUCUUUUCAUCUUCAUCACCUUAUACUUUUCCUGGUUCACUUUCUGGAAAAAAAGUCUCAUCUUCAAUUUGCUCAUUGACUUGAAUGCAGCUAAAUUCUUGCAUAUCCCUUCAUAUUGCACAUAUAGCAAAUAUGUAAAGGGAUUGAAUGUGUGGUAUUCAAGUACCUAACACAGAAUAGUAGUUCUAUUUUUCUAGGAGCAUGCUUUAGUAUGACUAUGUAAUAUGGAGAUGGUAUUGGACUACUUCCUGAUGGGCUACAUAAGAACCAGAGGACCUUUUCUCUUGUUUGCCUUCUGGACAGUCCCACAAUUCAACAGCAAACAUGAAUUCAUAGAAAGGCAUCAGUUCUGAUUGGCUAAUCCUGAUGCUAUAAAUAUUAAAUAAUUUGAAUAACAUCCCUGUAGAGAUAUCAAGUGCCUGUGCCAACAUCAUGCUAUUGGAUCUUUGGAACCUUCAGAGAUUUUUUUUUUCUGGAUUUUUUUUCCUGGUUGGCUUCCAAAAUUCAGCUCAAAUUCUCUGAGAAUAGCUAUAUUCCAUAAAGAGAUAGGGUGUAACCCCCAGACGUCUACCUGAAAGUUCAGAGACAGUAAAGAAGACUUAAUUGGAAAAAGUAGAUUUGAAGACUCCAAAUGCAGAGCCUUUGGAGAUGAUCUCACCGCAUGUCCUUCAAGGUACACUGUUUCUUCCUGACAAUGGUUUAGGUUACCAGGAAAAGCAGAAGUUUCCAACACUAUCCGGUAAUAGAAAGCAAAAACAAAUUUUACAAAGUGUUUCAGAAAGAUUUCUCUUCACACUGAUAAAGGGGUAAAUACUAAUGGAUGAGGGGUUGGCUUUUCAAAGGUUUAUUCAUACCCACAUUGUCUGAUUAUUUUUCAAAAAUCAGAAGUUACUGUAAUAAUGACCUUAUGUAGUUUUGUAGUUUCUGAGGGACUGGAAAUAAUGAAAUUAUUUGUCAUAGCUAUUUAGGUGUUGAGAAAAUUACUUUGAGACCAAGAGUGGUACUGGUUGAAGUGACAUCUUUAAGGUGCUUGAAGGAUUAGAAAAUGUAUCUGUUUGAGAUUAUUUACAUACAAGGAAAUGUGUGUAAUAUUGACGGGUGGAAAGCAAGUAUAAGUAUGUAAGUUUAUAUUUCAUAAAUAACCUAUAUGUAUAGGUUGAAAGUAAUUUUACACAUUAUUUAAAUGAAUUUGUACAUGAAACAUAUUUUGAUUACAUGGAAUUUUCCACUUGUAGCAUCUUGAUAGUAGUCAGACUAUUUCAGAUUUUGAGUCUUUAGAUGCUCAACCCAUACUGGCUUUCUGUGAAAAUACUUAACUUGUAGAGUUUGUGCGGUGAAAGAAUGAAAAACAUUGAUCUUAUUAUGUAGAAACUGGUGAAAAUCUAAUUUGAUUUUCUGUAGAGUGUUUACCAAG